rnacentral:ncRNA from 1 species
AGGGAACCCGGUGCAAUUCCGGGACGGACCCGCCGCUGUAAGUGAGGACGAACGCUGCAUAAAUGUCACUGUGCUGUUAAGGAUCGAAACUGCAUGGGAAGGCGCGGCAAGUAGGAAGAAUCACAAGUCAGAAUAUCU